CAGCCGCGUAAUUCCAGCUCCAAUAGCGUAUAUUAAAGUUGUUGCAGUUAAAAAGCUCGUAGUUGAAUUUCGGGACUAAUAUGUCGGUCGUACUUUGUACGUACUAGCAUUAUUGGUUUCUCCCUUCUGACGAACCACGAUGUCAUUAAUUUGGUGUCGCGGGAAAUCAGGACUGUUACUUUGAAAAAAUUAGAGUGUUUAAAGCAAGCUCGCGCUUGAAUACAUUAGCAUGGAAUAAUGAAAUAGGACGUUUGAUUCUAUUUUGUUGGUUUCUAGGAUCGACGUAAUGAUUAAUAGGGAUAGUUGGGGGCAUUAGUAUUCAAUUGUCAGAGGUGAAAUUCUUGGAUUUAUUGAAGACUAACUACUGCGAAAGCAUUUGCCAAGGAUGUUUUCAUUAAUCAAGAACGAAAGUUAGGGGAUCGAAGACGAUCAGAUACCGUCGUAGUCUUAACCAUAAACUAUGCCGACUAGGGAUCGGAUGAUGUUAAUUUUUUAAUGACUCAUUCGGCGCCUUACG
rnacentral:misc_RNA from 1 species